UAAAUAAAAAAGCCGAAUCACAGCAAUGUGAACGGGGGAACCAAAGUGGGGUUAAUUUCUUCGGAAUAGGGCAUCUCGACCCGCACCCGGCAGCUAACUUCGUAGGCGUAAUCGAGAGGAUGU
rfam:Acidaminococcus fermentans DSM 20731, complete genome.